AUAGCCACUGGAAACGGUGAUUAAUACUAGAUACACCUUCUUAUCACAAGGUAAGAAGGGAAAUGUCUUUUCGCUUUGGGAUCAGACUAUAUCCUAUCAGCUAGUUGGUGAGGUAAUGGCUCACCAAGGCAAUGACGGGUAGCGGUUCUGAGAGGAUGAUCCGCCACACUGGUACUGAGACACGGACCAGACUCCUACGGGAGGCAGCAGUGAGGAAUAUUGCACAAUGGGGGGAACCCUGAUGCAGCAACGCCGCGUGGAGGAUGACGCAUUUCGGUGUGUAAACUCCUUUUAUAUGUCAAGAAAAUGACGGUAGCAUAUGAAUAAGCACCGGCUAACUCCGUGCCA
rnacentral:rRNA from 1 species